rnacentral:lncRNA from 1 species
GAUGUAUGUUCGUGAGCAAGUUCCGGUUCCAUUGUUCGAAUGGUGGAAAUGAUGAAAAAUUGUCAAUCUGAUCUCAGGGAUCUGCAUCUGUCUCAAUUUAAUUGUUCUAUUUUCAGAGAACGCCAUGAUUAAAUUAGGAAGGCUGCUUAUGUAUAUUCUAUAGGAUCCAAACAUGUUUAGACUACAUUCAAACCCGUGAAUUUCAUGUUCUACGUAAGGGAAGUUAACAUCUUUACUUGAAUGUACGAACGGAAAACGGAACAAUAGCUUUAUG